CUCUCCGGUAGGAUAAUCCUUACCUGUUCCUCCUUUUGGAGGGCAGAUUGGAACACAAUGAUUGGAGAACACAUGAUUCGUGAUUAAUGUCUCUGCGUAAUCAGGACUGGCAACACCCUAAUCACAUUAAAAAAAA